rnacentral:misc_RNA from 1 species
AAGUCGUAACAAGGUAACCGUAGGUGAACCUGCGGUUGGAUCAUUAACAAUUAUUAUUGAGCCUACCCCCCCUUUUACCGGGGGGCGGUAGGUUCUCUAACACUUGUGUGCACUGUUUAUUGUCUCUCGGCGUUCGAGGGUUGGGUAGCAGAGCUUGCUCUGGUGCCCCUGGGCUUUACGGCCUUGAUCUACCCUUGAGCGCCAACCUAAAACUUGAUUUAUUUAUACUCUAAGCCUUUAAUUUUAAAUUUUAUAAUUUGAAAACAACUUUUAACAACGGAUCUCUAGGCUCUCA